GAGACAUUUGGUGUGUUUUGCACGUGGCCCUGAUUGCUUAGAAUAACUUGACAUUUGGUGACGAUAACUUGAAGUGUUAACACCCCAAAUGUUUCUUUGUUUUUCAGCCCCAAGCCGGUUUAAUGUCACAAAAGUGAUAAAUAUCUGACCUGCAAAGCUCCAGUCUUUCCUCCUAAAUUAACCUGACAAGCUGUGUUAAGACUGGAGUACUGUUUAAAGUGGCCUUAAACCCAACUCACACGCUACAGAGGUAUAUUGAGUACUUGUUUCCUAACUUGGAUAUCAUCUACAAACUUGUGUAGUUAAAGUAAUAUUUAAGUGCUUGAAUGAUACUCAUCAAAGUUAAGAUUCGACUGAAUGAGAUUGAUUCAGACUUAGAAAGACUGCCAGUUAACUUCAGCCUGAAGUACUGCUUGUGUUGCAGUUUGAGACCACUUAGAUAUUUGAUACUUUUAAAAUGUACAUAAAGAGGUAUCAAAUCCUAGUUCCAAAAGGGGCAGUGGGAUAGCUUAGUGGUUAAAGCAUUCCCUUGUUAUGCCGAAGACCCGAGUUCCAUUCCCUACAACACUACUAUGUGUGAAGCCCAUUUCUUGUGUUGCCUGAAAUUGCUGGAAUAUUGCUUAAAUCACAUAAUACUGAACUCACUAUCUCCCUCCAAGUUCCAAAAGGUAAUUAUAUUUUCUACAUACAAAAUACUGUGUGAAUCCUAUAUAUUUUCAAGAAUGCAUGAUAUUCAUAUAAGAUGGCUAUGUUUGCUGGUUUGUUUUUGUAAGUUUUACAACCCCAAAGAAUUGUGUGUAAAUUUGGGUAUUUGUGGUUUUCCCAUCACCCUUUUGUGAUAAAAAGUGCAAUAUAUAUUUUUCAAGUGAAGUUAAUUAUUGAAAAUAAAACAAAGAAUGAAAAAGG